AUUCCUACAGUUACUGUCGUCGCAAUAAUUCAUAUAAUGUUCGGCAGUAA
rfam:Vibrio nereis strain DSM 19584 contig0008, whole genome shotgun sequence.